rnacentral:rRNA from 1 species
GAUGAACGCUGGCGGCGUGCCUAAUACAUGCAAGUCGAGCGAACGGACGAGAAGCUUGCUUUUCUGAUGUUAGCGGCGGACGGGUGAGUAACACGUGGAUACCCUACCUAUAAGACUGGGAUAACUUCGGGAAACCGAAGCUAAUACCGGAUAAUAUUUUGAACCGCAUGGUUCAAAAGUGAAAGACGGUCUUGCUGUCACUUAUAGAUGGAUCCUCGCUGCAUUAGCUAGUUGGUAAGGUAACGGCUUACCAAGGCAACGAUGCAUAGCCGACCUGAGAGGGUGAUCGGCCACACUGGAACUGAGACACGGUCCAGACUCCUACGGGAGGCAGCAGUAGGGAAUCUUACGCAAUGGGCGAAAGCCUGACGGAGCAACGCCGCGUGAGUGAUGAAGGUCUUCGGAUCGUAAAACUCUGUUAGUAGGGAAGAACAUAUGUGUAAGUAACUGUGCACAUCUUGACGGUACCUAAUCAGAAAGCCACGGCUAACUACGUG